CCGUCGCACCAACUGCCCCCCCGACCGUCGCACCAACUGCCCCCCCGACCGUCGCACCAACUGCCCCCCCGACCGUCGCACCAACUGCCCCCCCGACCGUCGCACCAACUGCCCCCCCGACUGCCCCCCGGACUGUCGCAUCAACUGCCCCACCGACGGCCCUCCCAAAUGCUGCUCCAAUUGUCUCCUCAACCACCCCCCCGACAGCCACUCCUGCACCUUCCAGUGUGGGAACCUUGGGUCUUCAGUUCAGUCUCAACCAGCAGUUCACCCCAGAUCUUUCCAACUCAUCCUCUUCAGCGUACAAGGAUCUUGCUGCCCUAGUGGUCUCAGAGGUUGGUAGUGAUGUCACACUAGGUUGGUAUGGAGACGUCACGCUAGGUUGGUAGUGAUGUCACGCUAGGUUGGUAUGGAGACGUCACACUAGGUUGGUAUGGAGACGUCACGCUAGGUUGGUAUGGAGACGUCACGCUAGGUUGGUAGUGAUGUCACGCUAGGUUGGUAUGGAGACAUCACACUAGGUUGGUAUGGAGACGUUACGCUAUGUUGGUAUGGAGACGUCACGCUAGGUUGGUAUGGAGACGUCACGCUAGGUUGGUAUGGAGACGUCACGCUAGGUUGUUAUCGAGACGUCACACUAGCAAUAACCCGCAAAGUUGGGGUCAAGUCAGUCCAUUCCAGUCAAUAAAGCAUGCACACUCAAAUUUCCAUUCCAACUUUUUAAAAUUAUUUUCAUUUUGAAAUUGGCAGUAAUAAAUUAAAAACAGCAUAUUGUCGUCUUGAUAAUAGAAAAUGUUAAAUGAACAGUCAAAUUUCUGGUCCUGGUCACAAUUCUUCUUUCUAUUUGAAUGUUGGUUACUGUGUUUAAUUGCAUGAUUAUCUUUCAUUGCAGAUUACCAAGGUUUAUAAUAAAUUCCCAGGCUUCCUUCUUUGCUUUGUCAACUCAUUCAAGUAAGUAAAUGAUUAUGCCCCACUGAUUUAAUUACAGUAACGAUAGCUAUAGAUCAUUUAUUUAAUUACAGUAAUGAUAGCUAUAGAUCAUUUAUUUAAUUACAGUAAUGAUAGCUAUAGAUAAUUUAUUGCUGAAUUAUGUUCUUACUAUAAAUUGUAUCUCAUGAAAUACCUUAUACAGUGUCUGUCAAA
ensembl:lncRNA